rnacentral:rRNA from 1 species
UGCGUAGGCGGAGCGUUAAGUCAGUGGUGAAAUCCUGCAGCUUAACUGUAGACUUGCCAUUGAUACUGGCGCUCUUGAGUGCGCUUGAAGUAGGCGGAAUGUGCCGUGUAGCGGUGAAAUGCUUAGAUAUGGCACAGAACACCAAUUGCGAAGGCAGCUUACUAAGGCGAUACUGACGCUGAGGCACGAAAGCGUGGGGAGCGAACAGGAUUAGAUACCCUGGUAGUC